rnacentral:tRNA from 1 species
GCCUGGUUAGCUCAGUUGGUAGAGCGCUCCACUUGUAAUGGAGAGGUCCCGGGUUCAAUACCCGGACCAGGCG